ncrna:unclassified sequences Type-P5 twister ribozyme ribozyme sequence
CGCAGAGUGACGGACAGGGCUAACGCCCUCCCGGUAAUGCGGCUAGAGCGGUCACAAGCCCGC